rnacentral:rRNA from 1 species
UACGGAGGGAGCUAGCGUUGUUCGGAAUCACUGGGCGUAAAGGGUGCGUAGGCGGGUCUUUUAAGUCAGGGGUGAAAUCCUGGAGCUCAACUCCAGAACUGCCUUUGAUACUGAAGAUCUUGAGUUCGGGAGAGGUGAGUGGAACUGCGAGUGUAGAGGUGAAAUUCGUAGAUAUUCGCAAGAACACCAGUGGCGAAGGCGGCUCACUGGCCCGAUACUGACGCUGAGGCACGAAAGCGUGGGGAGCAAACAGGG